rnacentral:lncRNA from 1 species
GUUCGGGUUUUGUAAUCAGGUAUCGGGUUCCUCGGAUUGUCUUAUUUUGAUGUCCUAACCAACUACCAACCCUAAGUAGGUUUGGUUAGUGGUGCACAAAAAACCCGAACCCGGACCCGAACCCGAAAAAAAAACUCGGAACUGGGUAUUAUAAAACCCGGGUUUUUUAUACCCGAACCCGAACCCGACCCUACCCGUAGGGUAGGGACCGGGUAUGCAUAUUUGAUCUAAAACCCGAACCCGGAACCGGGUUUUUUAUACCCGGUUUAUACCCGAAACCCGGUUUUAUAAAUACCCGAACCCGAACCCGGAACCAGGUUUUAUAAAUACCCGGAACCGGUUUUUAAAAAAACCCGAUUUUGAUGUAAUCUUGUUUAAUUAUGUAUGCAUUAAGACUUCUAGUUCUUAUGAUUUAACAAAAGUAUGUAUGCACUUUGAUGUAAUCUUGUUUAAUUAUUAGGUUUCUAAUGAUAUUUGCCACCGCUACUUAAUUAUUUAGUAUAUUUCAUUACAAGUGGAAACAAAUAUGCCAAUAUAUGUUGGCCCUUCUAUUUUCUUUUUCAAGAAUAACCACAUGAAGAACUAUAAAUUGUGCCUCUGUUUAUAA